rnacentral:lncRNA from 1 species
UAGGCUUUUAUGUUCACUAUUAAAAAUAAAUGCCCAAUAGCUUCAAAUGAUUUCACACAUCCAUUUAAAAUCAGGAUUUUCAGCAUCUAAGCCCCUUGGCAAAGGAUGGAGCAUCCCCCAACCAGCCCUUUAACCGGAAACUCAUCCUAUAGACUCUGCUGCACCUUAAAGAGAAGGUUACCUCUCAGUGGAAAAAUCUCAUGCUUGCAUUAGUGCUGGGUGGAUAUAUUGUGCCCAGUUCCUCUAACAUGCAUAGCUUCUAUAGGAAAAGAAAUUUGAAGGCUCAGCGUGUGCAGUAAAAGUUAACAUGAUUGUUUUUCAACUGUUACUUUUUAUAUGUUUUCAUAACUUGGAUGUGCUAACCGAUCUGGCUCGUAAUCUCUGUUGAGUGACACGAUGAUGGCAGUGAGAGCUUAUUCUCAACACUAGCGAGGGACUAAGCGGAUUUGUUGAUCUAAUAUAGAUUGCUGUGUCUUGGAUUUGUUCAGAUUUAUAUGGACAGCUUC